rnacentral:rRNA from 1 species
AAGACGGCCUUCGGGUUGUAAACCCCUUUCAGGAGGGACGAAGGUUCGCCGGUUAAUAGCCGUGCGGAUUGACGGUACCUCCAGAAGAAGCUCCGGCUAACUACGUGC